GCUAGGCAUGGUGGCAUGCACCUGUAGUCCCAGCUAUUCAGGAGGCCUGAGCCCAGGAGUUCUGGGCUGUAGUGCACUAUACCAAUCAGGUGUCCGCACUAAGUUUAGCAUCAAUAAGGUAUACCCCCAGGGAGCUGGGGACCACCAGGUUGCCUAAGAAUGGGUGAACCGUUCCGGGUCGGAAAUGGAGCAGGUCAAAGUUCCCAUGCAGAUCAGUAGUGGGAUCAUGCCUAUGUACAGCCACUGCACUCCAGCCUGGGCAACAUAGU
rfam:Gorilla gorilla gorilla genomic chromosome, chr1, whole genome shotgun sequence